AGGGAAUAUUGGUCAAUGGGCGAAAGCCUGAACCAGCCACGCCGCGUGCAGGAUGAAGGUCUUUAUGAUUGUAAACUGCUUUUGCCAAGGGAUAAAAAGAGGCUAUAAGCCUAGAUGAAGGUACUUGGUGAAUAAGCCACGGCUAACUACGUGCCAGCAGCCGCGGUAAUACGUAGGUGGCAAGCGUUGUCCGGAUUCACUGGGUUUAAAGGGUGCGUAGGCGGCUUAAUAAGUCAGUCGUUAAAGAUAUGGGCUUAACCCAAAUAAGGCGAUUGAUACUGUUUAGCUUGAAUUCGUUGGAGGUAUCUGGAAUGCGUAGUGUAGCGGUGAAAUGCACAGAUAUUACGCGGAACACCAAUUGCGAAGGCAGGAUACUACGACGAGAUUGACGCUGAUGCACGAAAGUGUGGGGAGCGAAC
rnacentral:rRNA from 1 species